AUGGGGGCUCGCUGCUCCAAGCUCUCCGCCUGCUGGUGGCCGCCGCACUUCAAAUCCCCCCGCCUCGAGAACGGCGCCGCCGGGGAGGACGGCAGCGGCGUGCCGGUGUUCGCCGAGUACAGCCUCGACGAGCUCCGCGCCGCCACCGACGGCUUCGCCGCGGACCGCAUCGUCUCCGAGCACGGCGAGAAGGCGCCCAACGUCGUCUACCGCGGCACCCUCUUCAGCUCCGGCGCCACCGUCGCCAUCAAGCGCUUCGGCCGCUCCGCCUGGCCCGACGCGCGCCAGUUCGUGGAGGAGGCUAGGGCCGUUGGGCUGCUGCGGAGCGGUCGCCUGUCCAACCUCAUCGGCUGCUGCUGCGAGGGCGGCGAGCGGCUGCUCGUUGCUGAGUUCAUGCCGCAUGAUACCUUGGCAAAGCAUCUGUUCCACUGGGAGACCAAACCGUUGAGCUGGGCAAUGAGGGUGCGAGCUGCACUCUAUGUGGCCCAAGCACUGGAGUACUGCACCCUCAAAGGGAGGGCUCUCUACCAUGACCUGCAUGCAUACAGGGUCCUCUUUGAUGUGGAUGGCAACCCUAGGUUGUCAUGUUUUGGUUUGAUGAAGAACAGCAGAGAUGGGAAAAGCUACAGUACUAAUUUGGCUUUCACACCUCCUGAGUACCUUAAGACAGGUAGAGUAAUCCCUGAGAGUGUGGUCUACAGCUUCGGUACCAUCUUGCUUGACCUCCUAAGUGGGAAGCACAUUCCACCAAGCCAUGCGCUUGACCUUAUCAGAGGAAGGAACAUCACCGUGCUCAUGGAUUCUUGCUUGGAUGGUCACGUCUCCAGUUCUGAUGGAACAGAAAUGGUGCGGUUAGCAUCACGCUGCUUGCAAUAUGAAGCUCGCGACCGGCCAAACCUGAAAGCAGUAGUGUCUGCUCUUGCAAGCCUUCAAAAAGACGCUUCUGCUCCUUCACAUACUUUACUGGGCAUCUCACAGGACGCUGUCAAGGAGAAUGCAGAGCAAGUUUCAUUUUCUGCUACUGAGAAAGCUUAUGCGACAGCAGACCUUGAGCAGGUGCAUGAGUUGCUGGAAAAUGAGGGAUAUGAUGAGGAUGAGACAGCAAGUUUUAAUGUGUCUUUAAGCUCGUGGCCUGGCCAACCAUCUGAGAGUAUUCAGGUCAAGAAGAAUGGAGACGACGCUUUUCAAUCCAAAGAUUUUACGACUGUGCUGGAGUGUUACUCAAGGUUUAUCGAUACCGGUGCAAUGGAGUCUCCGACCAUGCUAGUGCGGCGAGGCUUCGCAAACGUGGUGCUUGGCAGGAUGGAGGAUGCCCUUGAGGACGCAAGGAGAGCAGAGGGGAUAUCACCCGAGUGGCCGACGGCGCACUACCUGCAAGGGAUGGCGCUCAUCGGGCUCGGCAUGGAGCUCGACGGCCACGAGAAGCUAAGGAUAGCCGCCUCCUUGGAAGCCCAGAGAACCGGUAGGAACUAG
rnacentral:rRNA from 1 species